GUGGGUGAAGAAGGCCUUCGGGUUGUAAAGCCCUUUUGUUGGGAAAGAAAUCCAGCUGGCUAAUACCCGGUUGGGAUGACGGUACCCAAAGAAUAAGCACCGGCUAACUUCGUGCCAGCAGCCGCGGUAAUACGAAGGGUGCAAGCGUUACUCGGAAUUACUGGGCGUAAAGCGUGCGUAGGUGGUCGUUUAAGUCCGUUGUGAAAGCCCUGGGCUCAACCUGGGAACUGCAGUGGAUACUGGACGACUAGAGUGUGGUAGAGGGUAGCGGAAUUCCUGGUGUAGCAGUGAAAUGCGUAAAGAUCAGGAGGAACAUCCAUGGCGAAGGCAGCUACCUGGACCAACACUGACACUGAGGCACGAAAGCGUGGGGAGCAAACAGGAUUAAAUACCCUGGUAGUCCACGCCCUAAACGAUGCCAACUGGAUGUUGGGUGCAAUUUGGCACGCAGUAUCGAAGCUAACGCGUUAAGUUCGCCGCCUGGGGAGUACGGUCGCAAGACUGAAACUCAAAUGAAUUGACGGAACUGUCU
rnacentral:rRNA from 1 species